GAUGAGACCCUCACAAACGAAGAAGAAAGCGAGGGAAGCCACCCUCAUGACCUUCUUCCCAGCCGAGAAGAAACAAGCCGACAUGCAAGAUGGCGGCAUGGAAAGUGCGCAUAGACAGAGAGGACGCAGCUUCAAACUCCUCAACCUCCUACUCCAACGACACCACCCGCAUACUAACCCAGAUGAAGGCGGACAGAGACUCCCUAGCGUGAGAAAUCGAAUGGAACUCUAGAGAGAUACGUCAGGAGAUCCAGGCCUUGGGUACCUGCACAGCCGCACUAGAGACCAGAGUGGAGGAGGUGGUAAAGGC